GACGAACGCUGGCGGCGUGCCUAAUACAUGCAAGUCGAGCGGACGAAUCGAAAGCUUGCUUUUGAUUCGUUAGCGGCGGACGGGUGAGUAACACGUGGGCAACCUGCCCUGUAGACGGGGAUAACACCGAGAAAUCGGUGCUAAUACCGGAUAACACGAAAUGUCGCAUGACGUUUCGUUGAAAGACGGCGUAAGCUGUCGCUACAGGAUGGGCCCGCGGCGCAUUAGCUAGUUGGUGAGGUAACGGCUCACCAAGGCGACGAUGCGUAGCCGACCUGAGAGGGUGAUCGGCCACACUGGGACUGAGACACGGCCCAGACUCCUACGGGAGGCAGCAGUAGGGAAUCUUCCGCAAUGGACGAAAGUCUGACGGAGCAACGCCGCGUGAGCGAAGAAGGCCUUCGGGUCGUAAAGCUCUGUUGUUAGGGAAGAACAAGUAACGCAGUAACUGGCGUUACCGUGACGGUACCUAACGAGAAAGCCACGGCUAACUACGUG
rnacentral:rRNA from 1 species